rnacentral:rRNA from 1 species
AACUCAAAGGAAUUGACGGGGCCCGCACAAGCGGUGGAGCAUGUGGUUUAAUUCGAUGAUACGCGAGGAACCUUACCUGGGCUCAAAUGUAUGUUGACGUAUUCUGAAAGGGAUACUUCUUCGGACAAUAUACAAGGUGCUGCAUGGUUGUCGUCAGCUCGUGCCGUGAGGUGUCGGGUUAAGUCCCAUAACGAGCGCAACCCCUAUCAUUAGUUGCCAUCAGGUAAUGCUGGGACUCUAAGGAUACUGCCCGGUUAACGGGGAGGAAGGUGGGGAUGACGUCAAGUCAGUAUGUCCCUUACGUCCAGGGCUACACACGUGUUACAAUGGCCGGUACAAUGAGUUGCGACCCUGCAAAGGUAAGCCAAUCUCAAAAAACCGGUCUCAGUUCGGAUUGCAGUCUGCAACUCGACUGCAUGAAGUUGGAAUCGCUAGUAAUCGUAGAUCAGCACGCUACGGUGAAUACGUUCCCGGGCCUU